UCACUCUGGAAAGCAGGGCGGGUGUCGACGGCUUCCGCUCUCACCGACGGUGAAAGCCGGGCAGAGCUCCAGGGCUCGCCCGGUGAAGCUCUCAGGUUGAGAUGACAGAGGGGGAGGC
rnacentral:ncRNA from 13 species